AGCCAGAAUCUUCUGCGUCAAAGCU
rnacentral:misc_RNA from 1 species